rnacentral:rRNA from 2 species
GUCGUGCGGACCUUUUAAAGCUUGCUUUUAAAGGUUAGCGGCGGACGGGUGAGUAACACGUGGGCAACCUGCCUGUAAGAUCGGGAUAACGCCGGGAAACCGGGGCUAAUACCGGAUAGUUUUUUCCUCCGCAUGGAGGAAAAAGGAAAGACGGCUUCGGCUGUCACUUACAGAUGGGCCCGCNNNGCAUUAGCUAGUUGGUGGGGUAACGGCUCACCAAGGCAACGAUGCGUAGCCGACCUGAGAGGGUGAUCGGCCACAUUGGGACUGAGACACGGCCCAAACUCCUACGGGAGGCAGCAGUAGGGAAUCUUCCGCAAUGGACGAAAGUCUGACGGAGCAACGCCGCGUGAGUGAAGAAGGCCUUCGGGUCGUAAAACUCUGUUGCCGGGGAAGAACAAGUGCCGUUCGAACAGGGCGGCGCCUUGACGGUACCCGGCCAGAAAGCCACGGCUAACUACGUGCCAGCAGCCGCGGUAAUACGUAGGUGGCAAGCGUUGUCCGGAAUUAUUGGGCGUAAAGCGCGCGCAGGCGGCUUCUUAAGUCUGAUGUGAAAUCUUGCGGCUCAACCGCAAGCGGUCAUUGGAAACUGGGAGGCUUGAGUGCAGAAGAGGAGAGUGGAAUUCCACGUGUAGCGGUGAAAUGCGUAGAGAUGUGGAGGAACACCAGUGGCGAAGGCGGCUCUCUGGUCUGUAACUGACGCUGAGGCGCGAAAGCGUGGGGAGCAAACAGGAUUAGAUACCCUGGUAGUCCACGCCGUAAACGAUGAGUGCUAAGUGUUAGAGGGUUUCCGCCCUUUAGUGCUGCAGCUAACGCAUUAAGCACUCCGCCUGGGGAGUACGGCCGCAAGGCUGAAACUCAAAGGAAUUGACGGGGGCCCGCACAAGCGGUGGAGCAUGUGGUUUAAUUCGAAGCAACGCGAAGAACCUUACCAGGUCUUGACAUCCUCUGACCUCCCUGGAGACAGGGCCUUCCCCUUCGGGGGACAGAGUGACAGGUGGUGCAUGGUUGUCGUCAGCUCGUGUCGUGAGAUGUUGGGGUUAAGUCCCGCAACGAGCGCAACCCUUGACCUUAGUUGCCAGCAUUCAGUUGGGCACUCUAAGGUGACUGCCGGUGAC